rnacentral:rRNA from 1 species
GAUGAACGCUGGCGGCGUGCCUAAUACAUGCAAGUAGAACGCUGAAGGAAGGAGCUUGCUCUUUCCGGAUGAGUUGCGAACGGGUGAGUAACGCGUAGGUAACCUGCCUGUUAGCGGGGGAUAACUAUUGGAAACGAUAGCUAAUACCGCAUAACAGUAGAUGUUGCAUGACAACUAUUUGAAAGGGGCAAUUGCUCCACUACCAGAUGGACCUGCGUUGUAUUAGCUAGUUGGUGAGGUAACGGCUCACCAAGGCGACGAUACAUAGGCGAACUGAGAGGGUGGUCGGCCAAACUGGGACUGGGAAACGGCCCAGACUCCUACGGGAGGGAGCAGUAGGGAAUCUUCGGCAAUGGAGGGAAGGCUGAACGAGCAAAGCCGCGUGAGUGAAGAAGGGUGUCGGAUCGGAAAGAUCUGUUGUAAGAGAAGAAAGAGAGGGAGAGUGGAAAGUUCACACUGUGACGGUAUCUUACCAGAAAGGGACGGCUAACUACGUG